rnacentral:rRNA from 1 species
CCUACGGGCGGCAGCAGUGAGGAAUAUUGGUCAAUGGACGCAAGCCUGAACCAGCCAUGCCGCGUGCAGGAAGACGGCCCUAUGAGUUGUAAACUGCUUUUGUACGAGGGUAAACGCAGAUACGCGUAUCUGUCUGAAAGGAUCGUACGAAUAAGGAUCGGCUAACCCCGUGCCAGCCGCCGCGGUAAUACGGAGGAUGCAAGCGUUACGCGGAUUUAUUGGGUUUAAAGGGUGCGUAGGCGGUCGGAUAAGUUAGAGGUGAAAUCCCGGGGCUCAACUUCGGAAUUGCCUCUGAUACUGUUCGGCUAGAGAGUAGUAGAGGUAGGCGGAAUGUAAGGUGUAGCGGUGAAAUGCUUAGAGAUCAUGCAGAACACCGAUUGCGAAGGCAGCUUCCCGGGCUACUUCUGACGUUGAGGCACGAAAGCGUGGGGAGCAAACAGGAUUAGAUACCCGUGUAGUC